UGCACCUACGGGAGGCAGCAGUGGGGAAUUUUGGACAAUGGCGCAAGCCUGAUCCAGCUAUUCCGCGUGUGGGAUGACAGCCCUCGGGUUGUAAACCACUUUAGUAGAGAACGAAAAGGAGCUAUCGAAUAAAUAGCUCUGCUGACGGUACUCUAAGAAUAAGCACCGGCUAACUACGUACCAGCAGCCGCGGUAAUACGUAGGGGGCGAGCGUUAAUCGGAAUUGCUGGGCGUAAAGGGUGUGCAGGCGGCUGAGUAAGACAGAUGUGAAAUCCCCGGGCUU
rnacentral:rRNA from 1 species